rnacentral:rRNA from 1 species
UGGGGAAUAUUGCACAAUGGGCGAAAGCCUGAUGCAGCAACGCCGCGUGAGUGAUGAAGGUCUUCGGAUUGUAAAGCUCUGUCUUUUGGGACGAUAAUGACGGUACCAAAGGAGGAAGCCACGGCUAACUACGUGCCAGCAGCCGCGGUAAUACGUAGGUGGCGAGCGUUGUCCGGAUUUACUGGGCGUAAAGGGUGCGUAGGCGGAUGUUUAAGUGAGAUGUGAAAUACCCGGGCUUAACUUGGGUGCUGCAUUUCAAACUGGAUAUCUAGAGUGCAGGAGAGGAGAAUGGAAUUCCUAGUGUAGCGGUGAAGUGCGUAGAGAUUAGGAAGAACACCAGUGGCGAAGGCGAUUCUCUGGACUGUAACUGACGCUGAGGCACGAAAGCGUGGGUAGCAAACAGGAUUAGAUACCCUGGUAGUCCACGCCGUAAACGAUGAGUACUAGGUGUAGGAGGUAUCGACCCCUUCUGUGCCGCAGUAAACACAUUAAGUACUCCGC